rnacentral:rRNA from 1 species
UACGUAGGGUGCAGGCGUUAAUCGGAUUUACUGGGCGUAAAGAGUGCGCAGGCGGUUUCUUAAGUCCGCUGUGAAAGCCCCGGGCUUAACCUGGGGACUUCGUUUGAAACUGGGAGACUUGAGUGUGGCAGAGGGGGGUGGAAUUCCACGUGUAGCAGUGAAAUGCGUAGAUAUCGUAAGGAGGGCCAGUGGCGAAGGCGAGUUCCUGGACAGUUACUGACGCUGAGGCACGAAGGCCAGGGGAGCAAACGGG